rnacentral:lncRNA from 1 species
CACAUGGUCCACCAUGAACCAGUGCCCAUUUUUGUGACGUUUCUCACGAUCUAUGGAGGUUUCUGUGGACCGAGUGGUCUACGAGUGAGAUAUUGCGGUCCAUGGUGGUCUGUUGAACGAUCAGACAGCUGGAAUGUGUUGUGACUUUGAUCAAAUGGCUAUGAGGUUUCUUUGAGUCCUACUCAGGUUCUGUUACCAAGUGAGAAUCGGAUUGAGGCCUAUAAGAGGCCCUACGGGCAAAUGGAGAUAGGGUGGCUUGGUGUGUUCAACAGAGAAUGUAUAGCCGGC